rnacentral:rRNA from 1 species
UGGAUGAACGCUGGCGGCGUGCCUAAUACAUGCAAGUCGAACGAGUUCUCGUUGAUGAUCGGUGCUUGCACCGAGAUUCAACAUGGAACGAGUGGCGGACGGGUGAGUAACACGUGGGUAACCUGCCCUUAAGUGGGGGAUAACAUUUGGAAACAGAUGCUAAUACCGCAUAGAUCCAAGAACCGCAUGGUUCUUGGCUGAAAGAUGGCGUAAGCUAUCGCUUUUGGAUGGACCCGCGGCGUAUUAGCUAGUUGGUGAGGUAAUGGCUCACCAAGGCGAUGAUACGUAGCCGAACUGAGAGGUUGAUCGGCCACAUUGGGACUGAGACACGGCCCAAACUCCUACGGGAGGCAGCAGUAGGGAAUCUUCCACAAUGGACGCAAGUCUGAUGGAGCAACGCCGCGUGAGUGAAGAAGGCUUUCGGGUCGUAAAACUCUGUUGUUGGAGAAGAAUGGUCGGCAGAGUAACUGUUGUCGGCGUGACGGUAUCCAACCAGAAAGCCACGGCUAACUACGUGCCAGCAGCCGCGGUAAUACGUAGGUGGCAAGCGUUAUCCGGAUUUAUUGGGCGUAAAGCGAGCGCAGGCGGUUUUUUAAGUCUGAUGUGAAAGCCCUCGGCUUAACCGAGGAAGCGCAUCGGAAACUGGGAAACUUGAGUGCAGAAGAGGACAGUGGAACUCCAUGUGUAGCGGUGAAAUGCGUAGAUAUAUGGAAGAACACCAGUGGCGAAGGCGGCUGUCUGGUCUGUAACUGACGCUGAGGCUCGAAAGCAUGGGUAGCGAACAGGAUUAGAUACCCUGGUAGUCCAUGCCGUAAACGAUGAAUGCUAGGUGUUGGAGGGUUUCCGCCCUUCAGUGCCGCAGCUAACGCAUUAAGCAUUCCGCCUGGGGAGUACGACCGCAAGGUUGAAACUCAAAGGAAUUGACGGGGGCCCGCACAAGCGGUGGAGCAUGUGGUUUAAUUCGAAGCAACGCGAAGAGCCUUACCAGGUCUUGACAUCUUUUGAUCACCUGAGAGAUCAGGUUUCCCCUUCGGGGGCAAAAUGACAGGUGGUGCAUGGUUGUCGUCAGCUCGUGUCGUGAGAUGUUGGGUUAAGUCCCGCAACGAGCGCAACCCUUAUGACUAGUUGCCAGCAUUUAGUUGGGCACUCUAGUAAGACUGCCGGUGACAAACCGGAGGAAGGUGGGGAUGGCGUCAAAUCAUCAUGCCCCUUAUGACCUGGGCUACACACGUGCUACAAUGGAUGGUACAACGAGUUGCGAGACCGCGAGGUCAAGCUAAUCUCUUAAAGCCAUUCUCAGUUCGGACUGUAGGCUGCAACUCGCCUACACGAAGUCGGAAUCGCUAGUAAUCGCGGAUCAGCACGCCGCGGUGAAUACGUUCCCGGGCCUUGUACACACCGCCCGUCACACCAUGAGAGUUUGUAACACCCGAAGCCGGUGGCGUAACCCUUUUAGGGAGCGAGCCGUCUAAGGUGGGACAAAUGA